rnacentral:tRNA from 1 species
GCCUUCGUGGUGUAAUGGUCAGCACACUGAGCCGGUAUUUCAGAGGUCCGCGGUUCGAUUCCCGGCGAGGGCA